rnacentral:misc_RNA from 1 species
UGGCUCUCGCAUCGAUGAAGAACGCAGCGAAAUGCGAUAAGUAAUGUGAAUUGCAGAAUUCAGUGAAUCAUCGAGUCUUUGAACGCACCUUGCGCUUUUUGGUAUUCCGAAAAGCAUGCCCGUCUGAGUGUUAUGAAUACUCUCCUCCAGGAUUUUUUUUCCUCGGGUGAGGAUUUGGGAUUUGUCGAUUUGGCUGUCCUUAAAUACAAUAGCAACGGUUUAAUAAGAUUAACCGUGGCGAUCCUAGCAUGUGAGCAUUUUCAAUGACUCGCUACGCCUUGUGAUUAGCCUCAGACGGACAAGACUACCCGCUGA